UGCAGUCGAACGAUGAAGCCCAGCUUGCUGGGUGGAUUAGUGGCGAACGGGUGAGGAACACGUGAAGAAUCUGCCUUCAACUCUGGGAUAACUCCGGGAAACCGGGGCUAAUACCGGAUAUGAGAUCUGCAGGCAUCUGCGGAUCUGGAAAGUUUUUCGGUUGAAGAUGACUUCGCGGCCUAUCAGCUUGUUGGUGAGGUAAAGGCUCACCAAGGCGACGACGGGUAGCCGGCCUGAGAGGGCGACCGGCCACACUGGGACUGAGACACGGCCCAGACUCCUACGGGAGGCAGCAGUGGGGAAUAUUGGGCAAUGGAGGGAACUCUGACCCAGCGACGCCGCGUGCGGGAUGAAGGCCUUCGGGUUGUAAACCGCUUUCGGCAGGGAAUAAGCGCAAGUGAAGGUACCUGCAGAAGAAGUACCGGCUAACUAUGUGCCAGCAGCCGCGGUAAUACAUAGGGUGCAAGCGUUGUCCGGAAUUAUUGGGCGUAAAGAGCUCGUAGGUGGUUAGUUACGUCGGAUGUGAAAAUCAGGGGCUCAACCCCUGACCUGCAUCCGAUACGGACUAGCUAGAGUUUGGUAGGGGAGACUGGAAUUCCUGGUGUAGCGGUGGAAUGCGCAGAUAUCAGGAGGAACACCGAUGGCGAAGGCAGGUCUCUGGGCCAAUACUGACACUGAGGAGCGAAAGCGUGGGGAGCGAACAGGAUUAGAUACCCUGGUAGUCCACGCCGUAAACGGUGGGCGCUAGUUGUGCGAACCUUCCACGGUUUGUGCGACGCAGCUAACGCAUUAAGCGCCCCGCCUGGGGAGUACGAUCGCAAGAUUAAAACUCAAAGGAAUUGACGGGGCCCCGCACAAGCAGCGGAGCAUGCGGCUUAAUUCGACGCAACGCGAAGAAACUUACCAAGGCUUGACAUAUACAGGAAUACGGCAGAGAUGUCGUAGCGGUAAAACGUCUGUAUA
rnacentral:rRNA from 1 species